UGCUCACUUUUAUAUCCAUCCCUCGUCAUGU
rnacentral:piRNA from 1 species